rnacentral:rRNA from 1 species
AUUGAACGCUGGCGGCAUGCCUAACACAUGCAAGUCGAACGGCAGCAUGAAUAGAGCUUGCUCUAUUUGAUGGCGAGUGGCGGACGGGUGAGUAAUAUGUAGGAAUCUACCUAGAGGAGGGGGAUAACUUGGGGAAACUCAAGCUAAUACCACAUAAGCCCUACGGGGGAAAGCAGGGGAUCGCAAGACCUUGCGCCUUAUGAUGAGCCUACAUCGGAUUAGCUUGUUGGUGGGGUAAAGGCCUACCAAGGCGACGAUCCGUAGCUGGUCUGAGAGGAUGACCAGCCACACUGGGACUGAGACACGGCCCAGACUCCUACGGGAGCAG